UACAGAGGUCUCGAGCGUUAGGCGGAAUCACUGGGCUUUAAAGCGUGUGUAGGUGGAUGCCUAAGUACCUUGUGAAAUCCCACAGCUUAACUGUGGAACUGCUUGGUAUACUGGGUGUCUUGAGUCACUCAGGGGCGAGCGGAACAAAUGGUGGAGCGGUGAAAUGCGUAGAUAUCAUUUGGAACGCCAAUGGUGAAAACAGCUCGCUGGGGGUGUACUGACACUGAGACACGAAAGCCAGGGGAGCGAACGGG
rnacentral:rRNA from 1 species